rnacentral:rRNA from 1 species
AGCAGGGGAUCGCAAGACCUUGCGCUCUUGGAGCGGCCGAUGCCUGAUUAGCUAGUUGGUGAGGUAAAGGCUUACCAAGGCGACGAUCAGUAGCUGGUCUGAGAGGACGACCAGCCACACUGGGACUGAGACACGGCCCAGACUCCUACGGGAGGCAGCAGUGGGGAAUUUUGGACAAUGGGGGAAACCCUGAUCCAGCCAUGCCGCGUGAGUGAAGAAGGCCUUCGGGUUGUAAAGCUCUUUCAGCCGGAACGAAACGGUCACGGCUAAUACCUGUGACUACUGACGGUACCGGAAGAAGAAGCACCGGCCAACUACGUGCCAGCAGCCGCGGUAAUACGUAGGGUGCAAGCGUUAAUCGGAAUUACUGGGCGUAAAGCGCGCGCAGGCGGUUUUGUAAGUCAGAUGUGGAAUCCCCGGGCUUAACCUGGGAACUGCGUUUGAAACCUACAAAGCUAG